ensembl:lncRNA
UUUUUUUUUUUUUUUUUUUUUUCUGAGACAGAGUUUCACUCUUGUUGUCCAGGCUGGAACGCAAUGGCGCGAUCUCAGCUCACCGUAACCUCCGCUUCCAGGAUUCAAGCGAUUCUCCUGCCUCAGCCUCCUGAGUAGCUGGGGUUACAGGCAUGACCCACCACGCCUGGCUAAUUUUGUAUUUUUAGUAGACGGGGUUUCUCCAUGUUGGUCAGGCUUGUCUCAAACUCCCGACCUCAGGUAAUCCGCCCGCCUCGGCCUCCCAAAGUGCUGGGAUUACAGGCGUGAGCCAUUGUGCCUGGCCAAAGCAAUUUUGUAAUUGACAAAUAAUAAUUGUACAUAUGUAUGGGGCACAUAGUGAUGUAACAUAUAUAGUGUAUAGUGAUCAGAUCAGAGUAAUUGGCGUAUCUAUCAUCUCAGAUUUUUAUUAUUUCUUUGUGUUGGGAUAUUUCAAUACCCUCCUUUUAGCUAUUUAAAAUGAUAUAACAUAUUAUUGUUAACUUCCUAUUUUUCUAAAGAAGCAUUUUCUAAGGUUACUUGGCCCCGUGUUCCUCCACUGCCCCUAUUAGAAGUCUCAUAUAUGGGCUGGGUGUGGUGGUUCAAGCCUGUAGUCCCAGCAUUUUGGGAUGCUGAGGUGGGUGAAUUGCUUGAGCCCAGGAGUUGAAGGACCAGCCUGGGCAACAUAGCAAAACCCCAACUCUACAAAAAAAAGAAAAAUUAGCCAGGCAUGGUGGCAUGCACCUGUAGUCCCACCUACUCAGGAGGCUAAGGUGGGAGAAUCUCUUGAGCCCGGGAGGUUGAGGCUGCAGUGAGCCAAAAUUGCGCCACUGCAGAGGACAGAGCAAGACUCCGUGUCAAAAAAAAAAAAAAAAAAAAAAGGAGAAAGAGAGAGAGUUGGAGGAGACUUGACUGAUUGAGACCAGGGCCAUGAUCCCACCACUGCACUCCAGCCUGGGUGACAGAGUGAAACCCUGUCUCACAAACAAAACACAUUUUAAAAAGUCUCAUGUAUGUUCAUGAGUUUAGUUACGAUCUUUUUGCUCCAAAAUCAGUUUCUCCAGAUCCCGCUGCUCACAUAAAUUUGUCGUAUUUCUUCGGACAGGGAAAAAGUUUCAUUUACAUAAAUGUUUCACUGUCACCACAGACUCAGCAUCUAUGAAAACCUGCCCCAGUAUUUUCUAUGACCGGAUCCUCAUUUACACUGGGCUCCCCAUCUGCUGCACUAACAUCCCUCUUUCAUCACCGCAUUCUGUGACUACUUCACACAUUUGUCUCUUCUUUCAGACCCAAUUCUAUGACCUGGUCUGGCCCUAACCUUCAGUUUAUGUUGUCGCAAGAGCCCCUGAGCUGGCCUAUCUGGACUCAGAUUCUGUUCCCCCCAGUCACCUGGCAUGUCAUGACUGGAAUAAACCUUGAUUCAAUCUAUCAGCGAUUUUCUAUUUCCUACGAUGUCAGGUGGAACUUGCUCUGCCUCUUUUUCAAGGCCCUCCAUAUUCUUUCUUCUCUGUCUCCUCCUUCCCCCCAUGCUGCAGCCCCCACGCCUACCCCUAAC